UGCAACCUGAGCUCAGGUUUCGUGAGUACGCUGAAUCAAUCAUAUCACGUAGCGGAGGAAAAGAAACUA
rnacentral:rRNA from 1 species